UACAGAGGGGGCAAGCGUUGUUCGGAAUUACUGGGCGUAAAGGGCGCGUAGGCGGCCUGCUAAGUCGAACGUGAAAUCCCUGGGCUCAACCCAGGAACUGCGUCCGAUACUGGUUGGCUUGAAUCCGGGAGAGGGAUGUGGAAUUCCAGGUGUAGCGGUGAAAUGCGUAGAUAUCUGGAGGAACACCGGUGGCGAAGGCGGCAUCCUGGACCGGUAUUGACGCUGAGGCGCGAAAGCGUGGGGAGCGAACAGG
rnacentral:rRNA from 1 species